AUGAGAGAGCUCAGCUCUGCCCCUCACCCGUGCAAGCAUAGACAGUCUCCUGGAGGCUCCACUUCCCGUCCCAACAGUGGAUCAGGGUACGCUCGACUGCAUGGCAUCGUGUGCCAGCCGCUGGCCGCAGUGGAGGCGGGCACCUCGGCCUCUGAGCGCUUCCUCUCCACGCCUCCCGCUGCACCUGCUCUCACACUGAUUCAUGUGGAUGCCCAGGAAGCCAGUGCCAGGCCGCUGUGGAACGCUGGGGAGGCUCCAUCCCAGGAGCGCUUGUGCCCACUUCUCCCCAGAGCGGCUGGAGCGGGAGAGGGAUGCCCGGGACUCAGAUGUGCAGCUGCAGACCUCCGACGAGCAGCCAGAGAACCGCAGACACCAUCGCUGGAAGGAGGAGUGGGCUCGAUCAAUCCAGGCACGCACAGCCCCACCGAAGUCAAGUCCCACGUCACCGAGGCAAAGCUGAGCUCCCAUUAUGGAACAGAAAAACAGUGUACCCGGUUGUUCCCUUCUGGAUUCAACAGGCGUCUGUGUGUGAAGCACCUGGGUCCGCUGGAAACUGAGCAGGGCUCCGGGGCUGUUACUGAGAGCCAAAAUCGGAAGCGCUGUCCUCAAUGUCAUUCAGAAGACCAGGACACCCACACUGAUCAUUACAGCACCCUGGGCUCAUUCCCCCAGCAGGUGCAAAACGCAGAGAGGCUUCCUGGCCAGGGGCAUUUGCACGGCUGGCAGCAGUGCAAGCCGAUCUCCACUCAAGUUCAGAAGAGGGCCGAGCAGAGCGCUGACUUUCGUCCCUGCGUUCCUGGCCUUGAGUUAGGCGUUCUCUCGCCACCGCCUCGUCGCUCUUCCCAGGCCCUUGGAAGAGCAGGGUUUUUCUUCUUCGGCAAGGCAAAGCUGAGAGGCUCAAGGUCAUGGAGGUAUCCUGCAGCAGUCAGGGCUUGGCCUGGCCCAGGUUGGCAGGGACACAGCAUAGUGGGGGUUGGUGCGGUUGCGCUUGGAGAAACUGGCCCGGGGAGGGCAGCCUGCAAGGACUUUGCACUUCCCCACAGGGGAGAGUGCGGCUCAGCUCCCCAGGGGAGAGAGCAGAGAGAGGAGAUUGAGAGCGUGCAGUGCAGAGACAGUCGCAAGGACGGAUCACAGCUCCACCCCACGCCAGCUUGUGACGGGGUUGGGGGGAGAUGGAAAGAGGGACAAGUUACAGAACUCCUCCAAGCCCCAUGCUCCUCGUCUGUAAAAUGGACACAUUCGCAGCAGUGCUCUCGCCUGGGGCUGUCAGGCUGGGGCGUGAGCUGGAAACCUUGCCUGGAGGAUAGCAGCUGCAUGUUAGUCAUUCAGAAGGCCACGUGGCACAACUGAUCGUCCUGACCUAAGGAUUCAGUUCCUCUCCUGGGGAGGGGUGUCAAGCACCUCCACCUCCCCCCAGGAGCGCGUGCUCCCCAUACCCUGGUUGCUUGUCCACCCCAGCUGUUCCUGUUCCACCCCAACUCCGAUGGGCUCCGCCCCUCUCACCAUGACAACCUCCUCCAGAGUCCUGGAGUCCAGUGUGGCCAGCUGGCAACAGCCUGGGCGGCUUGGGAGAGCUAAGGCUGCGUGGAGUAGCCCACGGGCAGCAGGAGGUAGAGCCAGGGUCAGACACCCCCCCCUCGCCCCCGCUCUCACGUCCUCCCGUCCCCAACACUGUCUGCUCCAGGCUGCAGUGAGCUGCAUGGGUGGCCACACAACCUUCCUCCCCCUUCCCUGCUUGUCCACCCCCUUGUUGGCCCAGCAGUGUCUCUGGGAUCAUUCUGCCCAGCACAGCAGUGGCGCCCAGGGCUCUCCCAGGAACUCCAGGCUGAGAGAGCCAGAGUCUAAGAGAAAAUGAUUUCCACCCUCGUUACCAGUAACUGCAAUGCUGGAAGCAGGGAGGAGGGGAAGAUGGGGGUGGUGGGGUUCGAGGGAGGCAGGGAGAGACACAGAGAGAGAGGACAUUGGCGAUAUGGAAGAGGCUGAUGAUGGGUGGGCUACUGGUCUGGCAGUGAAGAUGUCGGUUACGAUGCCCGUGUCCAUAUGUGAUACCCGGAUUCAAUCCUAACUCCAGCUUUCCGCUACUGCAGACCCUGGGAGGCGACAGGUGAUGGUUCCAGUAAUUGAAGCCCUGCCACCCACGUGGGAGACCAAGUUCAUGGCAACCACUUUUGGCUCCAGCACAAGCCUGGCCAUUGCAGGCGUUUGGGGAGUAAACCACAGGAUGGGUUCUCUCUCUUUCUCCCUCCCUCCCUCCGUGUCUCUCAAGUAAGUUUUCAAAGCAUGUUGAGGAUGCCAGGAGUCGGGACGAGGACAGAAGUCCGUGGCACAGACUGCCUGGUCCACGUUGUUG
ensembl:lncRNA